rnacentral:rRNA from 1 species
GGAGCUUGCGUACCAUUAGCUUGUUGGUAGGGUAACGGCCUACCAAGGCGACGAUGGUUAGCGGGUCUGAGAGGAUGAUCCGCCACACCGGAACUGAAACACGGACCAGACUCCUACGGGAGGCAGCAGUGAGGAAUAUUGCGCAAUGGGGGCAACCCUGACGCAGCGACGCCGCGUGGAUGAUGAAGGCCUUCGGGUUGUAAAAUCCUGUCAGAUGGGAAGAAAUGUACGGUUAUUAAGAGUGAUCGUAUUUGACGGUACCAUCGAAGGAAGCACCGGCUAACUCCGUGCCAGCAGCCGCGGUAAUACGGAGGGUGCGAGCGUUGUUCGGAAUUACUGGGCGUAAAGCGCGCGUAGGCGGCCAUGCAAGUCAGAUGUGAAAGCCCACGGCUCAACCGUGGACGUGCAUUUGAAACUGGGUGGCUUGAGUACUGGAGGGGGUGGUGGAAUUCCCGGUGUAGAGGUGAAAUUCGUAGAGAUCGGGAGGAAUACCGGUGGCGAAGGCGACCACCUGGCCAGAUACUGACGCUGAGGUGCGAAAGCGUGGGGAGCAAACCAGGAUUAGAUACCCUGGUAGUCCACGCCGUANACGAUGUGAAUUAGGUGUUGGGAUGGUUAAUCGUCUCAUUGCCGGAGCUAACGCAUUAAGUUCACCGCCUGGGGAGUACG